GACGAACCGUCCAAACGUUAUUCGGAAUCACUGGGCUUACAGAGUUCGUAGGCGGUCUGGAAAGUUGGGUGUGAAAUCCUUCGGCUCAACCGAGGAACUGCGCUUGAAACUACCAGACUCGAGGGAGAUAGAGGAAAGCGGAACUGAUGGUGGAGCGGUGAAAUGCGUAGAUAUCAAGUGGAACACCUGUGGCGAAGGCGAAUCCCUGGAAAAUACCUGACACUGAGGCACGAAAGCUAGGGGAGCAAACAGG
rnacentral:rRNA from 1 species